CAAGCCUGAUGCAGCGACGCCGCGUGCGGGAUGACGGCCUUCGGGUUGUAAACCGCUUUUGACUGGGAGCAAGCCCUUCGGGGUGAGUGUACCUUUCGAAUAAGCACCGGCUAACUACGUGCCAGCAGCCGGGGUAAUACGUAGGGUGCAAGCGUUAUCCGGAAUUAUUGGGCGUAAAGGGCUCGUAGGCGGUUCGUCGCGUCCGGUGUGAAAGUCCAUCGCUUAACGGUGGAUCCGCGCCGGGUACGGGCGGGCUUGAGUGCGGUAGGGGAGACUGGAAUUCCCGGUGUAACGGUGGAAUGUGUAGAUAUCGGGAAGAACACCAAUGGCGAAGGCAGGUCUCUGGGCCGUCACUGACGCUGAGGAGCGAAAGCGUGGGGAGCGAACAGGAUUAGAUACCCUGGUAGUCCACGCCGUAAACGGUGGAUGCUGGAUGUGGGGACCAUUCCACGGUCUCCGUGUCGGAGCCAACGCGUUAAGCAUCCCGCCUGGGGAGUACGGCCGCAAGGCUAAAACUCAAAGAAAUUGACGGGGGCCCGCACAAGCGGCGGAGCAUGCGGAUUAAUUCGAUGCAACGCGAAGAACCUUACCUGGGCUUGACAUGUUCCCGACAGCCCCAGAGAUGGGGCCUCCCUUCGGGGCGGGUUCACAGGUGGUGCAUGGUCGUCGUCAGCUCGUGUCGUGAGAUGUUGGGUUAAGUCCCGCAACGAGCGCAACCCUCGCCCUGUGUUGCCAGCACGUCGUGGUGGGAACUCACGGGGGACCGCCGGGGUCAACUCGGAGGAAGGUGGGGAUGACGUCAGAUCAUCAUGCCCCUUACGUCCAGGGCUUCACGCAUGCUACAAUGGCCGGUACAACGGGAUGCGACACCGCGAGGUGGAGCGGAUCCCUUAAAACCGGUCUCAGUUCGGAUUGGAGUCUGCAACCCGACUCCAUGAAGGCGGAGUCGCUAGUAAUCGCGGAUCAGCAACGCCGCGGUGAAUGCGUUCCCGGGCCUUGUACACACCGCCCGUC
rnacentral:rRNA from 1 species